rnacentral:tRNA from 16 species
GCCUGGGUGGCCGAGUGGUUAACGCACUUGUUUUCAAUGCACAAGGUCCUGGUUCGAGUCUUCAUUUGGUCU